CUCCUGCCCACCCGUGGCCUCCGGACUCCUGUCUGGGACUUACCUGAGGGAUAAUGCGGAUGUGCCGCCUCCCGUGAACCAACCAGGGAGAAGGGCCCACGUCCCGCGUCCCUGCCCGGAUCAGCGUCAUCCCCGCAACGGCUGCUUCACGCUGGGAGGCGCUCCGGAGACCGGAGACCGGAGACCGAGCCUCUGCCCGAGUGCGCGAGGCGCCAGGAGUCAAGGAUCCUGGACUCUGUCCGUUGCCCCACCAACCCGGAACGCCCUCCCUUCCCAGCCAUCUAGUGUCACACCUGGAGGUGACUUAGCAGGGUCACCAGUGGCCUCAGGACAGACUUCCAGUGACAGUGGCAGGAUGUUCUGCGGGAACCUAAGAGUUUGGCCCCACGCUCCUCCCUUCACCUCUCGCUCGCACUCCACUCUGGCCCCGAGGGCAGGCCUGGUGUCCUCAUGUCCACCUCUGCCUCCUGGACACCUGCCUCCCUGGACCCCCGCACCAGGAACCCGACGUGCCCCAAAGCGGCACCUCCUGGAAGCCCGACAGCGGCAGAAGCUGGCAUGUGUCCCCAAGGCC
rnacentral:lncRNA from 1 species